AACGAACGCUGGCGGCAUGCCUAACACAUGCAAGUCGAACGAGACCUUCGGGUCUAGUGGCGCACGGGUGCGUAACGCGUGGGAACCUGCCCUUAGGUUCGGAAUAACUCCCCGAAAGGGGUGCUAAUACCGGAUAAUGUCUUCGGACCAAAGAUUUAUCGCCUUUGGAUGGGCCCGCGUUGGAUUAGCUAGUUGGUAGGGUAAAAGCCUACCAAGGCGACGAUCCAUAGCUGGUCUGAGAGGAUGAUCAGCCACACUGGGACUGAGACACGGCCCAGACUCCUACGGGAGGCAGCAGUGGGGAAUAUUGGACAAUGGGCGAAAGCCUGAUCCAGCAAUGCCGCGUGAGUGAUAAAGGCCUUAGGGUUGUAAAGCUCUUUUACCCGGGAUGAUAAUGACAGUACCGGGAGAAUAAGCGCCGGCUAACUCCGUG
rnacentral:rRNA from 1 species